rnacentral:rRNA from 1 species
AGUGAACGCUGGCGGCAGGCCUAACACAUGCAAGUCGAGCGGAAGAAGGGAGCUUGCUCCUGGAUACAGCGGCGGACGGGUGAGUAAUGCCUAGGAAUCUGCCUGGUAGUGGGGGAUAACGUCCGGAAACGGGCGCUAAUACCGCAUACGUCCUGAGGGAGAAAGUGGGGGAUCUUCGGACCUCACGCUAUCAGAUGAGCCUAAGACGGAUUAGCUAGUUGGUGGGGUAAAGGCCUACCAAGGCGACGAUCCGUAACUGGUCUGCGAGGAUGAUCAGUCAAACUGGGACUGAGACACGGUCCAGACUCCUACGGGAGGCAGCAGUGGGGAAUAUUGGACAAUGGGCGAAAGCCUUAUCCAGCCAUGCCGCGUGUGUGAAGAAGGUCUUCGGGUUGUAAAGCACUUUAAGUUGGGAGGAAAGGCAGUAAGUUAAUACCUCGCUGUUUUGACGGUACCCACAGAAUAAGCCCCGGCUAACUUCGUG